rnacentral:rRNA from 1 species
GACGAACGCUGGCGGCGUGCUUAACACAUGCAAGUCGAACGGAAAGGCCCUGCUUGCAGGGUACUCGAGUGGCGAACGGGUGAGUAACACGUGGGUGAUCUGCCCUGCACUUCGGGAUAAGCCUGGGCAACUGGGUCUAAUACCGGAUAGGAGCCAUUUUUAGUGUGAUGGUUGGAAAGUUUUUUCGGGGUAGGAUGAUCUCGCGGCCUAUCAGCUUGUUGGUGGGGUAAUGGCCUACCAAGGCGGCGACGGGUAGCCGGCCUGAGAGGGUGGACGGCCACAUUGGGACUGAGAUAAGGCCCAGACUCCUACGGGAGGCAGCAGUGGGGAAGAUUGCACAAUGGGCGCAAGCCUGAUGCAGAGACGCCGCGUGGGGGAUGACGGCCUUCGGGUUGUAAACUCCGUUCGCUAGGGACGAAGCUUUUUGUGACGGUACCUAGAUAAGAAGCACCGGCUAACUACGUG